CGAGAUCCCCUGCCUNUAGUUGCCACCAUUUACUCUCAGGAGUAGUGGGGCGAAUUAGCGGGACCGCCGCAGUUAAUGCGGAGGAAGGAAGGGGCCACGGCAGGUCAGUAUGCCCCGAAACUCUGGGGCCACACGCGGGCUGCAAUGGUAAUGACAAUGGGUUCCAAAUCCGAAAGGAGGAGGUAAUCCCCAAACAUUACCACAGUUAUGACUGAGGGCUGCAACUCGCCCUCACGAAUAUGGAAUCCCUAGUAACUGCGUGUCAUUAUCGCGCGGUGAAUACGUCCCUGCUCCUUGCACACACCGCCCGUCGUUUCAGUUGAAGUGAGCUUUA
rnacentral:rRNA from 1 species